rnacentral:rRNA from 1 species
UUCCGGUUGAUCCUGCCGGAGACGACCGCUAUCAGGUUACGACUAAGCCAUGCGAGGCGCGAGGUGUAAGACCUCGCCGCACUGCUGAGUAACACGUAGUUAACCUGCCCUGAGGUGGGGGAUAAUCUCGCGAAAGUGAGGCUAAUACCCCAUAGCCAAAGGAUACUGGAAUGUUCCUUUGGCAAAACCUACGGGGCCUCAGGAUGGGACUGCGGCGUAUCAGAUUGUUGUCAGGGUAAACACCUGACAAGUCUAUAACGCGUAGGGGCUAUGAGAGUAGGAGCCUCCAGAUGCCCUCUGAGACAUGAGGGCAGGGCCUACGGGUCGCAGCAGGCGCGAAAACUUUCCAAUGCAUUAGCGUGUGAGAAGGGUAGCUUGAGUGGUGCAGCUUAGCUGCACCUUUUGCCAUGUCUAGAGAGCAUGGCGAAUAAGGAGUGGGCAAUACGGGUGCCAGCCGCCGCGGUAAUACCCGAACUCCGAGUGGCCGUCUCGAUUAUUGGGCCUAGAGCGUCCGUAGCCGGCUCGGCAAGUCCCUGGUGAAAUCCGGCAGCUAACUGUCGGGCGUGCUGGGGAUACUACCGGGCUUGGGAACGGGAAAAGUGGGAGGUAUUCGGCGUGUAGGGGUUAAAUCCUUUAAUCCGCCGAGGACCACCUGUGGCGAAGGCGUCCCACUGGAACGUGUCCGACGGUGAGGGACGAAAGCUGGGGGAGCGAUUGGGAUUAGAUACCCCAGUAGUCCCAGCUGUAAACAAUGCCCGUUUGGUGUCGCAUGACUCAAGAGGUCUUGCGGUGCCGGAGCGUAGGUGUUAAACGGGCCGCCUGGGGAGUACGGUCGCAAGACUGAAACUUAAGGGAAUUGGCGGGAGAGCACACAAUGGGUGGAGGCUGCGGUUCAAUUGGAUUAAACGCCGGACAUCUUACCAGGGCCGACAGCAGGAUGAAGGUCAGCCUAACGGGUUUACCAGACAAGCUGAGAGGAGUUGCAUGGCCAUCGUCAGCUCGUACCUUGAGGCGUGCGGUUAAGUCCGUUAACGAGCGAGACCCACGCUGCCAGUUGCCACACCGUUCUGUUUCCAGAAAUGGGGCCAGUGCGGUAGCACUCUGGCAGGACCGCCUCCGAUAAGGAGGAGGAAGGAGUGGGCGACGGUAGGUCCGUAUGGCCCGGAUGCCCUGGGCUACACGCGGCCUACAAUGCGCAGGACAAUGCGAUGCAACGCCGAAAGGCGAAGCCAAUCGCCCAAACCUGCGCCCAGUUCAGAUUGAGGGCUGAAACUCGCCCUCAUGAAGCCGGAAUCCAUAGUAAGCGGGCGUCAUAAUCGCUCGCUGAAUAAGUCCCUGCUCUUUGCACACACCGCCCGUC